CCCCCCGUGUCUGAGGAGCCGGCGGUGCUGCGCCCCGCGAUCCCGCUGCGGGGAGCGCCCUGGCACUUACCCCGCCCUGGCUUCCCGCCCGGCGAGAGCUCGCAGGUCGUCCAGCUUCAGGAUGGAUGGUGACCUUCCAAAAAAGUAAAAAGAUGGAAAAUCAUCAAAAUUACCAUAAACUACUGCCAACGGAAUGUUUCUUUGUAGCAUGUGCGGAGUGGAGGGAAAUCAUAUUCCUGCAUUAUAUAAUCUACCAACAGCCUACUUACCUACAGUCUUCUUAAUAUACAUUAUUCUUGAAAGCAGAGCCUGAGACCGAGGCAGACAUAUUCUAUUUGGGAAUGUAAUCCCAGGGAGCAGGAACGAGAGAGAGGAGUGAGAUGGGGGAAGGGGAGAGAAAAUUCAAGCAAAAUAAGGUAGUGUUAUCAAGUGUCCACCACUAUUAACAGUUUCUUAGUGAAGAACCUUCUCAGGAUUCUUACUAAAUUUUGUGUUGGAACUGUCUGCCUGAGGGUUGACAAAGAAAAGCAUUUCUCUCUCCGCACCCAUCUCCUGCAUGUUGAGAACUGCUCCCAUUGGUGUUAAUUCCCCAAGCCCUGUGGUUGCAAAGCUGGGAGAACCUCACUCAUUGCCACAUCAGAGAAGCCUUGAGACAGGAAGCCAGAUCCUUGGUCCAAGCUUGAGUGAGGCACUGUCAGCACAGAAUAGGGGGAAACCUGCCCAGACUGUUCACCAGAGUGGUAGCUGGAAUUGGAGGUUAAAGAGAUGUGAGACAGUGCACAGCAGAUAUCGUAUAAACGUACAGAUUGUGCUUUUAGCUGUGUCCAAAUCUAUUUUCUCUUUUCUAUAAUCAAAAUGUCAGUGUCCAGAACAAUUCUGGCAGAAGGGUUAAAUGAAAAGGUUAAAUGUGUUAGAAUAUGUACAUUAAUAACAGUUUUAACCUUGAGGGAUUUUUGUAGGAAAUAGAACACAAACAUGCGAAAUACAACAUGAGAACUUGGAAAAUAAAAAAUUAUAUAUAUUGUACUUGAAAAAUUAGACUAUUGAAUAGAGAUACUAGAUAUCUUCUAAACUCAUGUAAUCUCAGAAAACAAUCAUGACUUGUUUGGAGAAAUAAAAUGAACCUUUUGUGUGUC